AGGGUUUGAUUAUGGCUCAGGAUGAACGCUGGCGGCGUGCCUAAUACAUGCAAGUCGAGCGAACGGACGAGAAGCUUGCUUCUCUGAUGUUAGCGGCGGACGGGUGAGUAACACGUGGAUAACCUACCUAUAAGACUGGGAUAACUUCGGGAAACCGGAGCUAAUACCGGAUAAUAUUUUGAACCGCAUGGUUCAAAAGUGAAAGACGGUCUUGCUGUCACUUAUAGAUGGAUCCGCGCUGCAUUAGCUAGUUGGUAAGGUAACGGCUUACCAAGGCAACGAUGCAUAGCCGACCUGAGAGGGUGAUCGGCCACACUGGAACUGAGACACGGUCCAG
rnacentral:rRNA from 1 species